rnacentral:lncRNA from 1 species
GGCUAUUGUGCUGGGGGAGCCCAGCAGGGGUGUGAGACAGGCUGGAGUCAGCAAAGGGGUGUGUGUGUACAUGUGUGAGGCGCUGGGCAGAAGACCCCGUGGUGAGGGGGUCAGAGAGCAGCUGGCUGGCUGACUGACUGACUCCUGGGUGUGGAGGGAAGUGCCCAGCUAGAGAGCUGUGCUGUCCUCAGCCUUGCAAGCAGCCUGCAGCUGUGGUGGCUUCCCCAUGUGUCAUCCAAGGCUUUUCACCCUGAAAGCUGCUUGGAGAGGGAGCAGAGGUCGAUAGCAGAGAGAAGGGGCUCUAGCACUUGUGCUUUGCAAAGAAGUUUCGCGGCUGUGUUGCUUCACAACCUAGCCAUAUGCAAGAUUAGGAAGCCAUAAGCCUGUCCUGCCCCUAGAAACUGCAUCUUCCUGCUCCGGAGUGUCCUAAUUGGCAUGAGCUGCCCCUCGGGAAGCCUGGGACCAGCUGAACGCCAGUGCCUCUGAAGGGGACGUAGAGCCAGACAGGUGGGGUGAGGCAACUUAGGUGUGAGACCCAAGAGGAGCUCUGGGCAGUGUGUCAGAUGCAGUUCCUCAGUCAGGAGGCCCAGCAGAGCCCUAAGUGGCGUCCUGCUCCAUCUCAGUGACUCCCUUUCCUCCCCGCCUCCCCAGCUGGGGAGGGCAGUAGAAAGUUCUGGGGACUCCAUCUCACUCAUGCACAACUGGUUCUUCAGCUCAGCUCUGUGAUGCCCUCUUUUCCUUACUGCGGCGCCUCAGGGCAACCUCUGUCCCUCUCUGAGCUCCCCUUAGCCAGCUUGCUCCUGACCCACUCAAGCCUCCCCAGUGGAGACAGGAGCCAGCGAGGAUCUGAGAGGCAUUUGCUUUGUGACCCCUGCUGCAG